UACAGAGGUCCCAAGCGUUGUUCGGAUUCAUUGGGCGUAAAGGGUGCGUAGGCGGUUCGGCAAGUCGGAUGUGAAAUCUCCACGCUCAACGUGGAGGGGCCAUUCGAAACUGCCGUGACUCGAGUCCGGUAGGGGAGUGUGGAAUUCCCGGUGUAGCGGUGAAAUGCGCAGAUAUCGGGAGGAACACCGAUGGCGAAGGCAGGUCUCUGGGCCACUACUGACGCUGAGAAGCGAAAGCAUGGGGAGCGAACAGG
rnacentral:rRNA from 1 species